CCCCUAGAUGUUCUGGGCCGCACGCGCGCUACACUGAACAGUUCAACAAGUCUUAACCUUGGCCGAUAGGUCUGGGUAAUCUUUGAACGCUGUUCGUGAUUGGGAUAGACCUUUGCAAUUAUGGGUCUUCAACGAGGAAUUCCUAGUAAACGCAAGUCAUCAGCUUGCAUUGAUUACGUCCCUGCCCUUUGUACACACCGCCCGUCGCACCUGCCGAUUGAAUGGUCCGGUGAAAUCUCGGGACGGCGGCUUGGUCGCUUGCGUCCGACUGCUGAAACUUGAUUAAACCAUAUCAUUUAGAGGAAGGUGAANUCGUANCA
rnacentral:rRNA from 1 species